rnacentral:ncRNA from 1 species
AAACAACAAUGUUCUAACUACCUAAGGUCAAAAUAUGGGGCAUUACACCGAUCUUGUUACUUUGAAAAAACUAGAGUGCUUAAAGAAAGCUUAUUCUUUGAAUACAUUAGCAUGGAAUAACGCGAUAGGAGUCUGGUCCUAUUGUGUUGGCCUUCGGGACCAGAGUAAUUAUUAAUAUGGACUGUCGAGGGCAUUUGUAUUUCAUUGUCAGAGGUGAAAUUCUUGGAUUUAUGAAAGACGAACCAUUACAAAAGCAUUUGCCAAGGAUGUUUUCAUUAAUCAAGAACGAAAGUUGGGGGCUUGAAGACGAUCAGAUACCGUCCUAGUCUCAACCAUAAAUGAUGUCGACCAGGGAUCGACAGAUGUUUCUCUAAGGAAUCCGCCAACACCUUCUAAGAAAUCAGAGUGUUUGGGUUCCGGGGGGAGUAUGGUCGCAAGGUUGAAACUACAAGGUUGUAUUAAAAGAUCUCUU